UAAGGCGAGGCUGAAAAGCGUAGUCGAUGGAAAACAGGUUAAUAUUCCUGUACUUCCAGUUAUUGCGAUGGAGGGACGGAGAAGGUUAGGCCAGCCUGGCGUUGGUUGUCCAGGUUUAAGGUGGUAGGCUGAAAUCUUAGGCAAAUCCGGGAUUUCAAGGCCGAGAGCUGAUGACGAGUUGCCUUUAGGCGACGAAGUGGUUGAUACCAUGCUUCCAAGAAAAGCUCCUAAGCUUCAGAUAACUGGGAACCGUACCCCAAACCGACACAGGUGGUUAGGUAGAGAAUACCA
rnacentral:rRNA from 1 species